AAACCCUCCAAUUUCU
rnacentral:miRNA from 1 species